rnacentral:rRNA from 1 species
GGAACUGGGGAACUUGAGUGCAGAAGAGGAGAGUGGAAUUCCACGUGUAGCGGUGAAAUGCGUAGAGAUGUGGAGGAACACCAGUGGCGAAGGCGACUCUCUGGUCUGUAACUGACGCUGAGGCGCGAAAGCGUGGGGAGCGAACAGGAUUAGAUACCCUGGUAGUCCACGCCGUAAACGAUGAGUGCUAAGUGUUAGAGGGUUUCCGCCCUUUAGUGCUGCAGCAAACGCAUUAAGCACUCCGCCUGGGGAGUACGGUCGCAAGACUGAAACUCAAAGGAAUUGACGGGGGCCCGCACAAGCGGUGGAGCAUGUGGUUUAAUUCGAAGCAACGCGAAGAACCUUACCAGGUCUUGACAUCCUUCGCUACUUCUAGAGAUAGAAGGUUCCCCUUCGGGGGACGAAGUGACAGGUGGUGCAUGGUUGUCGUCAGCUCGUGUCGUGAGAUGUUGGGUUAAGUCCCGCAACGAGCGCAACCCUUGAUCUUAGUUGCCAGCAUUCAGUUGGGCACUCUAAGGUGACUGCCGGUGAC